rnacentral:rRNA from 1 species
UACAGAGGGUGCAAGCGUUAAUCGGAAUUACUGGGCGUAAAGCGUGCGCAGGCGGUUUUGUAAGUCUGUCGUGAAAUCCCCGGGCUCAACCUGGGAAUUGCGAUGGAGACUGCAAGGCUAGAAUCUGGCAGAGGGGGGUAGAAUUCCACGUGUAGCAGUGAAAUGCGUAGAGAUGUGGAGGAACACCGAUGGCGAAGGCAAUCCCCUGGACCUGUACUGACGCUCAUGCACGAAAGCGUGGGGAGCAAACAGG